UACGGAGGGUGCAAGCGUUAAUCGGAAUUACUGGGCGUAAAGCGUGCGUAGGUGGUUUGUUAAGUCUGAUGUGAAAUCCCCGGGCUCAACCUGGGAAUGGCGAUGGAUACUGGCGAGCUAGAGUGUGUCAGAGGAUGGUGGAAUUCCCGGUGUAGCGGUGAAAUGCGUAGAGAUCGGGAGGAACAUCAGUGGCGAAGGCGGCCAUCUGGGACAACACUGACGCUGAAGCACGAAAGCGUGGGGAGCAAACAGG
rnacentral:rRNA from 1 species